AAAGUCGUAACAAGGUCUCCGUUGGUGAACCAGCGGAGGGAUCAUUACAGAGUUGAAAAACUCCAACCCCUGUGAACCUUACCUCUUUGUUGCUUCGGCGUGCCCUCUGGACGCCGCAGGUCCGCCCCUCACCGGGUGGCCGCGGCGCCCGGCGGUCGGCACGCCGGAGGUUCCAAACUCUGAAUUUAUAGUGUAUCUCUGAGAUUAAAAACAAAUAAUCAAAACUUUCAACAACGGAUCUCUUGGUUCUG
rnacentral:misc_RNA from 1 species